rnacentral:rRNA from 1 species
GUGUACCCGGUUGACUUAAGCAUAUCAAUAAGCGGAGGAUUAGAAACCAACAGGGAUUGCCCUAGUAACGGCGAGUGAAGCGGCAACAGCUCAAAUUUGAAAUCUGGCUCUUUCAGAGUCCGAGUUGUAAUUUGCAGAGGGCGCUUUGGCGUUGGCAGCGGUCCAAGUUCUUUGGAACAGGACGUCACAGAGGGUGAGAAUCCCGUACGUGGUCGCUAGCCAUCACCGUGUAAAGCCCCUUCGACGAGUCGAGUUGUUUGGGAAUGCAGCUCUAAAUGGGAGGUAAAUUUCUUCUAAAGCUAAAUACUGGCCAGAGACCGAUAGCGCACAAGUAGAGUGAUCGAAAGAUGAAAAGCACUUUGGAAAGAGAGUCAAAUAGCACGUGAAAUUGUUGAAAGGGAAGCGCUUGCAGCCAGACUUGCCUGUAGUUGCUUACCUAGACUUUUGUCUGGGGCACUCUUCUGCAGGCAGGCCAGCAUCAGUUUGGGCGGUUGGAUAAAGGUCUCUGUCACGUACCUCCCUUCGGGGAGGCCUUAUAGGGGAGACGUAAUGCAACCAGCCUGGACUGAGGUCCGCGCAUCUGCUAGGAUGCUGGCGUAAUGGCUGUAAGCGGCCCGUCUUGAAACACGGACCAAGGAGUCUAACAUCUAUGCGAGUGUUUGGGUGUCAAGCCCAUACGCGUAAUGAAAGUGAACGGAGGUGGGAACCUUAGGGUGCACCAUCGACCGAUCCUGAUGUCUUCGGAUGGAUUUGAGUAAGAGCAUGGCUGUUGGGACCCGAAAGAUGGUGAACUAUGCUUGAAUAGGGUGAAGCCAGAGGAAACUCUGGUGGAGGCUCGCAGCGGUUCUGACGUGCAAAUCGAUCGUCAAAUUUGGGCAUAGGGGCGAAAGACUAAU